AGGGAACCGGCGGCGAACUGUGCUGUGUGUCAGCCACCCCGCGUGUCCUGUUUCACUGACCCCUCGCGUUGUGAAGUAGACGAUUACUCCUGUUUCACAAGUGAGGCCACUGAGGCCUAGAGAAGGCACUUCGGACCCCGCUCCACGUUGGAGGCAGCUUUCAGAGGAGAGAUGGAACGUACACGGGAUUUUGCUGUUGAUGGACCCUGAGCUCUAGAGACCCGGGGCAGUGUUUCAGGAGACGAGAGUGGAGGCGGCAGGGGCGGAACCGGACACAAGGAGGUCUGAGAAAGUCUGGGUGUACCCGUCGCAUGCGGACCCCCUCUCUGCCCUUGUCUGUGGACGGCUGGAGGCCAGGGAAGAGUGGCCAUCGUUCCGCGCAUGCUCUCACUCCGAGUACGUAGAGCGCCUCCUUGAACCCUGAACGUGGGCCUCAGAGCCUCUGGGGACAGCUGGGUGUCAUUCUCGGGGCAUAAACCUCCUCUUCCUUCCUUCCUUCCUUCCUUCCUUCCUUCCACCCACUCAUCCAUGCAUUAUUCAUCCAUCCAUCCCUUUCCCGAGCACCUAGUAUGGCCUAGGCUUUCUGCUAGGCUCUGUGGGGGGCACAAAAAUGAGUGAAACAAUGCAGUACAACCUGAUACAUGUACGUGGAUGGGGAAGGGGUGCGGAGAAUGUGUCCAUGAAUCAUCCCUGUCCCGGGAAGCAGUGAACAGAGGCCCUGGGCGCCGCGCAGAGAAAAGGACUAUGGCGUUUGCUACGGAGAGGCCUUUGUGAAGAUCUACCUGCCAAACGAGGUGAUCAUUCUUAGCUCUACACUUGUAAAGGCUCAGUAAA